AGACGCUUCGUUUUAUUUAUUGGGGACAUCGCUUGUAUCAUUCUUUGAUGUGAUAUUGUCGUAUAAAUGCUUUGGUAGAAAACCUUCAAUAUACACUUGUUGGGCUUGCUUUUUUGUAGCCAGUGGAUUUAUUUACGCGAUCAGACACGAAUAUCUCGCAGGUACGUUUUCGGCGGUCGGAUUGUUGUUCAGUAUUUUGAGUUCGUUUUUCUACGCUUUUUAUGCCAUAAAAGUGUACACAUUUUUGCCUCGUAUAAACAACGAACUUUGGGUGAUCAUGUUCUUCAACAACCUGUACUCCACAAUACUGUUUAUUCCGUUGCUGGUGUUUGAAAGAGACGAAAUCAUGAACAAACUUAUGCCCUCAGCCUUCGGUAUAAAUCAAGUAUUGACUUUUGUGGCAUUGGCGCUUUCCGGGGUAGUCACAAUGGUCUACAAACUUAUUCACAUCAAAAGGGACACGACAAUUUGGGUGACCAAACUCGAGUCUCGCGGUAUAAGCAGGGCACACUUCCAGUUGGGAAUAGUAUCACAUUGGUACGCUGAACCUAAGCCCCUCAGCUGGUGGGUGGCAA